rnacentral:rRNA from 1 species
UACGUAGGUGGCGAGCGUUGUCCGGAUUUACUGGGCGUAAAGAGCGCGCAGGCGGUCGUACAAGUCGCGUGUGAAAGCCCCCGGCUCAACUGGGGAGGGUCACGCGAUACUGUUCGACUCGAAGGCAGGAGAGGGAAGCGGAAUUCCCGGUGUAGUGGUGAAAUGCGUAGAUAUCGGGAGGAACACCAGUGGCGAAGGCGGCUUCCUGGCCUGUUUUUGACGCUGAGGCGCGAAAGCUAGGGUAGCAAACGGG